rnacentral:rRNA from 1 species
UACGGAGGGUGCAAGCGUUCUCCGGAUUCACUGGGUUUAAAGGGUGCGUCGGUGGAGUGGUCAGUCAGUGGUGAAAUCUCCAAGCUUAACUUGGAAACUGCCGUUGAUACUAUCAUUCUUGAAUAUCGUGGAGGUAAGCGGAAUAUGUCAUGUAGCGGUGAAAUGCUUAGAUAUGACAUAGAACACCGAUUGCGAAGGCAGCUUGCUACACGAUCAUUGACACUGAGGCACGAAAGCGUGGGGAUCAAACAGG